AUAGAAGAGUUGAUGAUCAAAUUCAUGCAGAACCAAGAAGCAGUCAUGCAAAACUAGGAAACCAAGCUCACACAGAACCAAAAAGCCACCAUUAGGAAUUUGGAGACCAAGCUCAGGCAGGAUCAGGCAGUAGCAGUUCGAAACUUAGAGUUGCAAGUAGGUCAAAUGGCCAAUAUGAUCUCUAAAAGACCACAAGAAUCCUUGCCUAGCACCACCGAGACUAAUCCC
rnacentral:lncRNA from 1 species